GUAGGGUCCAAGCGUUUAAUCGGAAUUACUGGGCGUAAAGCGUGCGCAGGCGGUUGUGCAAGACCGAUGUGAAAUCCCCGGGCUUAACCUGGGAAUUGCAUUGGUGACUGCACGGCUAGAGUGUGUCAGAGGGGGGUAGAAUUCCACGUGUAGCAGUGAAAUGCGUAGAGAUGUGGAGGAAUACCGAUGGCGAAGGCAGCCCCCUGGGAUAACACUGACGCUCAUGCACGAAAGCGUGGGGGAGCAAACAGGAUUAGAUACCCUGGUAGUCCACGCCCUAAACGAUGUCAACUAGUUGUUGGGGAUUCAUUUCCCUUAGUAACGUAGCUAACGCGUGAAGUUGACCGCCUGGGGAGUACGGUCGCAAGAUUA
rnacentral:rRNA from 1 species